GCCACAUGAUGUCAUUUAGAUUGCAUUAGCGCUCUUUUGUGCUGAGAUGACCUCCUAUCUAUCACCCUAGACUGAUGGCU